UACAGAGGUCUCAAGCGUUAUCCGGAUUCACUGGGUUUAAAGGGUGCGUAGGCGGCGCGGUAAGUCGGGUGUGAAAUCUCGGAGCUUAACUCCGAAACUGCAUUCGAUACUGCCGUGCUUGAGGACUGGAGAGGAGACUGGAAUUUACGGUGUAGCGGUGAAAUGCGUAGAUAUCGUAAGGAAGACCAGUGGCGAAGGCGGGUCUCUGGACAGUUCCUGACGCUGAGGCACGAAGGUCAGGGGAGCAAACGGG
rnacentral:rRNA from 1 species